rnacentral:ncRNA from 2 species
UAACGAAACUGCGAAUAGCUCAUUAAUACGCUCAGAAUCUAUUUGGCGGCGACCAACAGUUCUUAAAUGGAUAGCAGCAGCAACUCUGGUGCUAAUACAUGCGAUUGUUUCUCCAGAUGUGAAUUAUGGAGGAAAAGUUGACCUCAUCAGAGGCACGCCAUUCGACUGAGUGACCUAUCAGCUUGUACUUAGGGUCUUUACCUAGGUAGGCUAUCACGGGUAACGGGCGGUUACCGUCGGACUGCCGGAGAAGGCGCCUGAGAGAUAGCGACUAUAUCCACGGGUAGCAGCAGGCGCGAAACUUUCCCACUCGAGACUUUCGGAGGAGGUAAUGACCAGUUCCAUUGGUGCCUUUUGGUACUGUGGAUAGGGGUACGGUUUUCCACCGUACCGAAACCUAGCAGAGGGCCAGUCUGGUGCCAGCAGCUGCGGUAAUUCCAGCUCUGCGAGUUUGCUCCCAUAUUGUUGCAGUUAAAACGCCCGUAGUCUGAAUUGGCCAGCAAUGGUCGUACGUAUUUUUACGUUCACUGUGAACAAAUCAGGACGCUUAGAGUAUGGCCACAUGAAUGACUCAGCGCAGUAUGAAGUCUUUGUUUUCUUCCGAAAACAAGCUCAAUGAGAGCCAUCGGGGGUAGAUCUAUCUCAUGACGAGUGGUGGAAUACUUUGACUCAUGAGAGAGAAGCUGAGGCGAAGGCGUCUACCUAGAGGGUUUCUGUCGAUCAAGGGCGAGAGUAGGAGUAUCCAACAGGAUUAGAGACCCUGGUAGUUCCUACCUUAAACGAUGCCGACAGGAGUUUGUCAUUUGUUAAUGGCAGAAUCUUUGGAGAAAUCAUAGUUCUUGGGCUCUGGGGGAACUACGACCGCAAGGCUGAAACUUGAAGGAAUUGACGGAAGGGCACACCAGGGGUGGAGCCUGUGGCUUAAUUUGAAUCAACACGGGGAAACUUACCAGGACCAGAUGUUUUUUAUGACUGACAGGCUUCGGGUCUUUCAGGAAUAUUGUUUU